UUGAGUCUGCGGCAGCUACACAUGCAGUCGAGCGGCAGCGGGUCCUUCGGGAUGCCGGCGAGCGGCGGACGGGUGAGUAAUGCCUAGGAAUCUGCCUGGUAGUGGGGGAUAACUCGGGGAAACUCGAGCUAAUACCGCAUACGUCCUACGGGAGAAAGCGGGGGAUCUUCGGACCUCGCGCUACCAGAUGAGCCUAGGUCGGAUUAGCUAGUUGGUGAGGUAAAGGCUCACCAAGGCGACGAUCCGUAGCUGGUCUGAGAGGAUGAUCAGCCACACUGGAACUGAGACACGGUCCAGACUCCUACGGGAGGCAGCAGUGGGGAAUAUUGGACAAUGGGCGAAAGCCUGAUCCAGCCAUGCCGCGUGUGUGAAGAAGGUCUUCGGAUUGUAAAGCACUUUAAGUUGGGAGGAAGGGCAGUAAGCUAAUACCUUGCUGUUUUGACGUUACCGACAGAAUAAGCACCGGCUAACUUCGUGCCAGCAGCCGCGGUAAUACGAAGGGUGCAAGCGUUAAUCGGAAUUACUGGGCGUAAAGCGCGCGUAGGUGGUUUGAUAAGUUGGAUGUGAAAGCCCCGGGCUCAACCUGGGAAUUGCAUCCAAAACUGUCUGACUAGAGUAUGGCAGAGGGUGGUGGAAUUUCCUGUGUAGCGGUGAAAUGCGUAGAUAUAGGAAGGAACACCAGUGGCGAAGGCGACCACCUGGGCUAAUACUGACACUGAGGUGCGAAAGCGUGGGGAGCAAACAGGAUUAGAUACCCUGAUAGUCCACGCCGUAAACGAUGUCGACUAGCCGUUGGGAUCCUUGAGAUCUUAGUGGCGCAGCUAACGCAUUAAGUCGACCGCCUGGGGAGUACGGCCGCAAGGUUAAAACUCAAAUGAAUUGACGGGGGCCCGCACAAGCGGUGAGCAUGUGUUUAAUUCGAAGCAACGCGAAGACCUUACCAGGCCUUGACAUGCAGAGAACUUUCCAGAGAUGGAUUGGUGCCUUC
rnacentral:rRNA from 1 species